rnacentral:rRNA from 1 species
UUUCCAGACUCCUACGGGAGGCAGCAGUGAGGAAUAUUGGUCAAUGGACGCAAGUCUGAACCAGCCAUGCCGCGUGCAGGAUGACGGCUCUAUGAGUUGUAAACUGCUUUUGUACGAGGGUAAACCCCGAUACGUGUAUCGGGUUGAAAGUAUCGUACGAAUAAGGAUCGGCUAACUCCGUGCCGGCAGCCGCGGUAAUACGGAGGAUCCGAGCGUUAUCCGGAUUUAUUGGGUUUAAAGGGUGCGUAGGCGGUUUGAUAAGUUAGAGGUGAAAUGUCGGGGCUCAACCCCGAAACUGCCUCUAAUACUGUUGGACUAGAGAAUAGGUGCGGUAGGCGGAAUGUAUGGUGUAGCGGUGAAAUGCUUAGAGAUCAUACAGAACACCGAUUGCGAAGGCAGCCUUCCGGCGCCCUACUGACGCUGAGGCACGAAAGUGCGGGGAUCGAACAGGAUUAGAUACCCCGGUA